rnacentral:rRNA from 1 species
GACGAACGCUGGCGGCGUGCUUAACACAUGCAAGUCGAACGGAAAGGCCCUGCUUUUGUGGGUUGCUCGAGUGGCGAACGGGUGAGUAACACGUGAGUAACCUGCCCUUGACUUUGGGAUAACUUCAGGAAACUGGGGCUAUUACCGGAUAGGAGCUCCUGCUGCAUGGUGGGGGUUGGAAAGUUUCGGCGGUUGGGGCUGGACUCGCGGCUUAUCAGCUUGUUGGUGGGGUAGUGGCUUACCAAGGCUUUGACGGGUAGCCGGCCUGAGAGGGUGACCGGCGACAUUGGGACUGAGAGACGGCCCAGACUGCUACGGGAGGCAGCAGUGGGGAAUAUUGCACAAUGAGCGGAAGCCUGAUGCGGCAACGCCGCGUGCGGGAUGACGGCCUUCGGGUUGUAAACCGCUUUCGCCUGUGACGAGGCGUGAGUGACGGUAAUGGGUAAAGAAGCACCGGCUAACUACGUG